AUUGAACGCUGGCCGCAGGCCUAACACAUGCAAGUCGAACGGUAACAGGAAGAAGCUUGCUUCUUUGCUGACGAGUGGCGGACGGGUGAGUAAUGUCUGGGAAACUGCCUGAUGGAGGGGGAUAACUACUGGAAACGGUAGCUAAUACCGCAUAACGUCGCAAGACCAAAGAGGGGGACCUUCGGGCCUCUUGCCAUCGGAUGUGCCCAGAUGGGAUUAGCUAGUAGGUGGGGUAACGGCUCACCUAGGCGACGAUCCCUAGCUGGUCUGAGAGGAUGACCAGCCACACUGGAACUGAGACACGGUCCAGACUCCUACGGGAGGCAGCAGUGGGGAAUAUUGCACAAUGGGCGCAAGCCUGAUGCAGCCAUGCCGCGUGUAUGAAGAAGGCCUUCGGGUUGUAAAGUACUUUCAGCGGGGAGGAAGGGAGUAAAGUUAAUACCUUUGCUCAUUGACGUUACCCGCAGAAGAAGCACCGGCUAACUCCGUG
rnacentral:rRNA from 1 species